UCCGUUUCUCUCUCCCAUUUCUCGUCUCUGCUCUCUCUCCCAUUUCUCCUCAUCGCUCUACACCACUUCGCCAUCACUCUCACAAUUUGAUGCUCUCCUUGGCAUGGAUUAUUCUAAGAAGCACCUACACUAAUACUGAAUGCCUUGGAGUACUACUGGUAGGCUCCCCUAUAUUUCAACUUUACAAAACUGUAAGUCUCUUCCAAUCAUUCUGAAAGAAUAGGCCCCAUAGUUCUUUGAAGCAAUUUGGGCACUUACUUCUUGCUUCAUCUAUGUUCUUUUCUUCAGAUCAAACCUUACUUCGCCGAGAAAUUUUUUGGAAUCGUCAGUGAUACCACUCUCAUAUGAAGGAAUUGAGUAAAUCAGAAAAAGAAGUAUGUAUCUGCAGGGAUGCUACAUCUCUCUAAUAAUGCCAAACAAAGAAGAUGCAACUCUCAGAUAUAUUAAGCAUGUUUGUGAAGUUCUGGCUCUUGAUUAAAAUGUUCAGCACGAUAUGGUUGACACGAUGACACCCAUGGCUAAUGAAAAGAAAAGAAAGCUUUCAAGGAUAAAGAAUGAAAAGAGAACGACUCUCUUGCACCUUUAAAGCAUAAGUGAAACCGUAGCAUUUGAAUUAAUAAGGAAUAUCCCGAGGUAAAGAUUGAUCUUAAAAAUCUAAUGUUUAAUUGCAGGUUUUAUAGUUUGAGAUUUAUUGAAAAAUAGUUAUUAUGCUGUCAAUUUUUUUUUAUAAUAGGUCCUGAAAAAAGUUGCUAUUUGAGAGCUUAUGGCAAAUGAGUUACUAAAACAAAGUUGGCAAUUGCAUCUGGGAAAGAUGGUCAUAUAAUUAGAAUGGAAAAUGAUUAUAAAGAGUUGAAGGAAAAAGUGGCAGCUAUGGAUUGGAAUGGUUCUAGGGAUAUUGUUGCUUAUGGAUAUUUCAUUUCAAAUGAUCCAAAAGAUUUAGUUCUUGAUGUCCCUAUUGGACCACUUUCCAUGAAUGUUGGUGUUGAUUUUGCAAGAGAGCCUGAUGCAUUUUUGUGGAGACCUACUUCAGGGAUAACUUGUAUAGAAGAAAGUGUAGGAAGUGUUAUUGCUUGGCCAGCCAACAAAGUCACAAUGAGGGAUAACUAGUAUCGAAAAAAGUGUUGGGAGUGUUAUUGCUUGGCUCGCCGAUAAAGUUAUAAUGAGAUGAUGAAGAUAGCCACUCGAGACUUGGAUGCUUGCAAUUAAUAAAGAGAUAGUAUUGGACAAAUGUUACAAUUUGCCUUUUAUUAGACUCAAUAGACAUACUACUUCUAAGCAUGAACUUUUAUUAUGGUAUUUUGCACUUGAAUUUUUAUCAUUUGGGACACAUGUAUUGGAUAUUUUGGUUGAUACA